AUAAACUUUAGGUAACUCAGAAAGUGGAUUUAGUUCUGAGAAACAUAAUUUGAGUGCAGAUGCUACUUGAUUUAAUAUUUUGUAUCUUUUGCAAUCAAAUUCAGACAUUUUUGGCAUGACUUGACAGAGAUUUUGUUUUCCUUCCUCAGUUUCUCUGGAUGUUCCUCAGACGUCAGAUCUGGUGAAGAUGAACCAGCGUCUGGUGGAGGCCAGCGGCCAGUUCAAGAAGAAACAGGGCAAAGGGACGACUGACGUCUGGUGGCUGUUUGAUGACGGAGGUGACGUCACAGCCGUGUGUUCUUCCCUUCUGUCAGCUCUGAAGUGUGAUGUUGAUGUUUCUUCAUGUUGUUCUGCAGGUCUCACACUUCUCCUGCCUCAUAUUUUGACCACAUGGAAGAAAUAGAAGGACUGCAAACUCAGGAUCUUCAUCCCCGGGCAUCCUGAACGCAUCCAACAGGACAAGGAGGAGAUGCAGGAACUUCUGAAGAAGUUCACGAUCAAAUGUGCCGACAUCAAAGUUAUCGCAGACAUCACCGUCAGACCCAGCGCAGAGAGCUAGAAACUGUUCGAGGACAUGAUCGAGCCGUUCCGGAUGCACGAGGGUUCAAAGGAGACGUCGCAGGCUGAAGCUCUGAGGAAAGAUCAUCUCUGGAAGAUCACAGAUGCUGAGCUGGACGCCUUCGAGGAGAAGGUAGAAUCCCAGAGGACACUGCGGCAGUCCUGAGA
ensembl:lncRNA